rnacentral:snRNA from 1 species
AUACUUACCUGGCGUAGGACUCAACUUUGAUCCAGAUGGAAGUUGUCCCAGGUCGAGGCCCUUACAUUGCACUGAGUUUGGGCUGACACUUGCGAUUGUCCCAAAUUGGGAUAACUCGGGCGCGCAAUUUUUGUAGUGGGGACUGCGUUCGCGCUAUCCCUAC